rnacentral:rRNA from 1 species
AUGGGUCACGAGGCUGCUCCAUCGCCUGUGGUUUGUAGGCGCAAUACCAUGCGUCUCCAUUGCGCUGCUGCAGGCUGGGGAAUGAUGGUGCUGCUCUGCCCCGGCUACCUUGUGUCGACCACUAAUCUGAACUCUAGUGCAGAACAGAAUACAACCCAAAGGAACUCCAAGUCGCCUCGACAUGGCCUUCUGGUUGUCAUACCCAUGAAAUCUGCGAGCUUUGGAAAUCAGUUCGACAGAGUUGUACUACUCCAUGACGAAGAUGUUAGUAGCGCAACUUACCUUGUCACCAAAAAGAUUUGUUAUCUAAUUAUUUGUUCCAUCUGCGCCUCAUCAUGUGAUUUCCCCCCCCUUUCAAUUUUGUACCUACAAGAUGUCAGUUAA